CCUACGGGUGGCAGCAGGGGGGAAUAUUGCACAAUGGGGGAAACCCUGAUGCAGCAACGCCGCGUGAAGGAAGACGGUUUGCGGAUUGUAAACUUCUGUUCGUAGUGAAGAAGAAUGACGGUAGCGAAGGAGCAAGCCACGGCUAACUACGUGCCAGCAGCCGCGGUAAUACGGAGGUGGCAAGCGUUGUCCGGAAUUACUGGGUGUAAAGGGAGCGCAGGCGGGAAGCCAAGUCAGCGGUGAAAACUACGGGCUUAACUUGUCGACUGCAGUUGAAACUGGUUUUCUUUAGUGAAGUAGAGGUUGGCGGCAUUCCGCUUGUAGCGGUGAAAUGCGUAGCUCUUCGGAGGCACACCGGUGGCGACGGCGGCCCACUGGGCUUUAACUGACGCUGAGGCUCG
rnacentral:rRNA from 1 species